rnacentral:lncRNA from 7 species
GUAGUUGGAAGAGCAGAAGAUGCAGGAGUUGGGCUUGAAGUGCCUGUCACUGUUGUUGUGUGUGCAGGAGUGCUUGUAGUCGGAGGAGCAGAAGAUGCAGGAGUUGGGCUUGAAGUGCCUGGCACUGAUGUUGUCUGUGCAGGAGUGCUUGUAGUCAUAAGAGUAGAAGAUGCAGGAGUUGGGGUUGAAGUGCCUGGCACUGAUGUUGUCUGUGCAGGAUUGCUUGUUGUCGGAAGAGCAGAAGAUGCGGAAGUUUGUCUUGAAGUGUCUGCAGUGCUCGUGUCUUCUGCUUUUCUUGAUGUUUCCAUCGUUGAGAAGAGAAUCGUAGUUGCUGUUGUUUCCACCACAGUGGACUGUGGAGACGAGGAUGUAGCAGUUGUAGUUUGGGAAGGUGUUGUGGUUUGUGUAGCAGUGGAUGUUUUUUCUGUAAUUGUGGUCAAGGCAGUCGUUCUUGUGUUGAGGGGUGUUGUACUUGUGAGGGUAGAAGUAGAGGUUGUUGCUAGGGUGGUGCUCGCCACUGCAGUCUUUUUUUCUGAUGUUUCUGCGGCAGUACUGUUCAAUAUUUGUUCUGCUGUUGUACUACUUGAGUCUGUAAAAAUAUUAAUGGAUAAGUUAUUUCAUUAACGUUUCUCAGAAUUGAACGGUAUUUAUGUUUUUCCUUUAUCGCAUUAGGCAUUUUCUAUUGUUUUAUUGUAUGCUCUAUGUGUAACUGAUUAGCAGAAUAUUUGUUUUCUUUUAUGCAGCUUUUGUUUCUACUUUCAUUUCCAGAAUACCAGAGCUUAUUUUCCAACCUCUUUAUGCUUACUUGCUGUAAGCCAGCCCCAAACUUGAGACUUUACUGUCACAGUAUGUUGCUGUGCUAUGCAGUCUAAUUAUUGCUGCUGCUUUUCACUUUUAAGCAUAAAUCAAACCAUCGCUUUUUCCUCCUAGUGAAAAAGUAUGCCCUUCCCUUUCUUAAUUUUCUUGUCUUUGUUGUUGUUAUUUUUCUCAUAUUCUAAAUUCAUUCAAGCAUGACUCCUGCGUUUUUGAUCAUGAGAGGGCUGAAGAGGCUGUAGAAUAUUUAAAAUUUAGGUAUGGUUACGAUAAGGCUUAUAAUAAACAAGAAAGCUAGAUUGUUCAUGGGGAGGAGUCAAUGAAGCUACAUUCCGUU